rnacentral:rRNA from 1 species
UGGGGAAUAUUGGACAAUGGGGGGAACCCUGAUCCAGCCAUGCCGCGUGUGUGAAGAAGGCCUUAUGGUUGUAAAGCACUUUAAGCGAGGAGGAGGGUACUGGUAUUAAUACUACCAGCUACUGGACGUUACUCGCAGAAUAAGCACCGGCUAACUCUGUGCCAGCAGCCGCGGUAAUACAGAGGGUGCGAGCGUUAAUCGGAUUUACUGGGCGUAAAGCGUGCGUAGCCGGCUAAUUGAGUCGGAUGUGAAAUCCCCGAGCUUAACAUGGGAAUUGCAUUCGAUACUGGUUAGCUAGAGUGUGGGAGAGGAUGGUAGAAUUCCAGGUGUAGCGGUGAAAUGCGUAGAGAUCUGGAGGAAUACCGAUGGCGAAGGCAGCCAUCUGGCCUAACACUGACGCUGAGGUACGAAAGCAUGGGGAGCAAACAGG